rnacentral:rRNA from 1 species
UACGAAGGGUGCAAACGUUGCUCGGAAUUAUUGGGCGUAAAGCGCACGUAGGCGGCUUUUCAAGUCCCAUGUGAAAGCCCACGGCUUAACCGUGGAAGUGCAUGGGAAACUGGAAAGCUUGAGUACUUAAGAGGAUCGCGGAAUUCCCGGUGUAGAGGUGAAAUUCGUAGAUAUCGGGAGGAACACCAGUGGCGAAGGCGGCGAUCUGGGAAGAUACUGACGCUGAGGUGCGAAAGCCGGGGGAGCAAACAGG